GACGAACGCUGGCGGCGUGCUUAACACAUGCAAGUCGAGCGGUAAGGCCCUUUCGGGGGUACACGAGCGGCGAACGGGUGAGUAACACGUGGGUGACCUGCCCUCAGCUCUGGGAUAAGCCUGGGAAACCGGGUCUAAUACUGGAUAUGACUCCAUGACGCAUGUUGUGGGGUGGAAAGCCUUGUGCGGCUGAGGAUGGGCCCGCGGCCUAUCAGCUUGUUGGUGGGGUGANGGCCUACCAAGGCGACGACGGGUAGCCGGCCUGAGAGGGCGACCGGCCACACUGGGACUGAGACACGGCCCAGACUCCUACGGGAGGCAGCAGUGGGGAAUAUUGGACAAUGGGCGAAAGCCUGAUCCAGCAAUGCCGCGUGUGUGAAGAAGGCCUGCGGGUUGUAAAGCACUUUCAGUAGGGAAAGAAAGCUUGGUGUGAAUAGCACCGAGUCUUG
rnacentral:rRNA from 1 species